rnacentral:rRNA from 1 species
UACGGGGGGGUGCGAGCGUUGUCCGGAAUCACUGGGCGUAAAGGGCGCGUAGGUGGUCUGAUAAGGGUGUGGUGAAAGUCCGGGGCUCAACCCCGGAUCUGCCGUGCCGACUGUCAGACUCGAGGACUGUAGAGGCAGGCGGAAUUCCGGGUGUAGCGGUGGAAUGCGUAGAGAUCCGGAGGAAGACCGGUGGCGAAGGCGGCAUCCUGGACUGGUCCUGACACUCAUGAGCGAAAGCGUGGGGAGCGAUCCGG